rnacentral:rRNA from 1 species
AGAGUUUGAUCCUGGCUCAGGACGAACGCUGGCGGCGCGCCUAAAACAUGCAAGUCGAACGAGAAGCCCGGGCUUGCCCGGGUGGACAGUGGCGAACGGGUGAGUAACACGUGAGGAACCUGCCCCGAAGACCGGGACAACACCGGGAAACCGGUGCUAAUACCGGAUACCUUCGCCGGAUCGCAUGGUCUGGUGAAGAAAUGGAUUCCGCUUCGGGAUGGCCUCGCGGCCUAUCAGCUUGUUGGUGAGGUAACGGCUCACCAAGGCAACGACGGGUAGCUGGUCUGAGAGGAUGUCCAGCCACACUGGGACUGAGACACGGCCCAGACUCCUACGGGAGGCAGCAGUUAGGAAUCUUGCGCAAUGGACGAAAGUCUGACGCAGCGACGCCGCGUGCGGGAUGACGGCCUUCGGGUUGUAAACCGCUUUCAGCAGGGACGAAAUUGACGGUACCUGCAGAAGAAGCCCCGGCCAACUACGUGCCAGCAGCCGCGGUAAUAC